rnacentral:rRNA from 1 species
UACGUAGGGGGCAAGCGUUGUCCGGAUUUACUGGGCGUAAAGAGCGUGUAGGCGGCCACGCAGGUCCGUUGUGAAAACUGGAGGCUCAACCUCCAGCUGUCGACGGAAACCGUGUGGCUAGAGUCCGGAAGAGGAGAGUGGAAUUCCUGGUGUAGCGGUGAAAUGCGCAGAUAUCAGGAAGAACACCAAUGGCGAAGGCAGCUCUCUGGGACGGUACUGACGCUGAGGAGCGAAAAGCGUGGGGAGCGAACAGG